rnacentral:rRNA from 1 species
GACGAACGCUGGCGGCGUGCCUAAUACAUGCAAGUCGAGCGGAGUUAUUCCUUCGGGGAUAACUUAGCGGCGGACGGGUGAGUAACACGUAGGCAACCUGCCUGUAAGAUCGGGAUAACUACCGGAAACGGUAGCUAAGACCAGAUAAUCAGCUGGAUCGCAUGAUUCGGCUGGGAAAAGCGGAGUAAUCUGCUGCUUACAGAUGGGCCUGCGGCGCAUUAGCUAGUUGGUGGGGUAAUGGCUCACCAAGGCGACGAUGCGUAGCCGACCUGAGAGGGUGAACGGCCACACUGGGACUGAGACACGGCCCAGACUCCUACGGGAGGCAGCAGUAGGGAAUCUUCCGCAAUGGACGCAAGUCUGACGGAGCAACGCCGCGUGAGUGAUGAAGGUUUUCGGAUCGUAAAGCUCUGUUGCCAGGGAAGAACGCUUGGGAGAGUAACUGCUCUCAAGGUGACGGUACCUGAGAAGAAAGCCCCGGCUAACUACGUGCCAGCAGCCGCAGUAACAC